CUCUCUCUCGUUCCUAAGAGGGAAAUUACAGUACAUCAGAUUUUCCCCCCCUUUCCUGGCAAGCAAGGCAUUCAUUGUUCACCUGAAGGGUACUGGAGCAGGAUAGAACACCAAUUGCCUAAGUCCAUAAUAUGAGCCAAGCCUUCAGGGCCCUUUCUGAAGGAGGCAGAUACAAGUCCAAAAUACUGCAUGGACAAGGUUUAAAAGAGGUGCGGAACACAAACAGGAUUGCUUGGAGGUCUCUCAUGCCAGCCUCUUAUGCAUGGGUCUACAGGGACUUUGGAAGACACAAGUCUGCCAAGGUUCUUCAUGAAGAACUCAAGGAAGAAACAGGAUGAAUAAUUCACCCUUCCUGAGGACCGAAAAAUGGCUACAAACUUCCUGAGAUCAAGGAGCAGGUUUUCAUCUACGUUUGAACUGUGUGCCAUCUGAAUCCAAGGUAGGGGACAGAACCUUUAAAACUGUACAGAUUUUAACCAAAUGUGUAUAGUGAAAAUAUAAUGUAUGCGAGGGAUCACUUCUGGUGGUGUAGCCACUCUGAGAAACUGGUUUUUGCAGGUUUUAAAAACCAGGAGUCUGUUCCAGCAAGGAGCAACAAUAGUCAGAAAAAAGAAAAAUGCAUGGGAAGUAUGGUAUGCAAAGCUAUUUGUUUGCUAUUCAUUUGGACAUCUCUUAAGAGAGUGUAAUCAAAUUUUGCAUUGUGGUUCCUGAGAUUAAGGAGCAGGUUUUCAUCUCUGUUUGGAUACAGUUGGAUGGCAUUUUGAAUCAAGAUGGAGGACAGAACCUUCCUAAGCUGCACUGGUUUUUUUCUUUC